rnacentral:rRNA from 1 species
CCUACGGGUGACAGCAGUGAGGAAUAUUGGUCAAUGGGCGCGAGCCUGAACCAGCCAAGUAGCGUGAAGGAUGACUGCCCUACGGGUUGUAAACUUCUUUUAUAAAGGAAUAAAGUGAGGCACGUGUGCCUUUUUGUCUGUACUUUAUGAAUAAGGAUCGGCCAACUCCGUGCAAGCAGCCGCGGUAAUACGGAGGAGCCGAGCGUUAUCCGGAUUUAUUGGGUUUAAAGGGAGCGUAGAUGGGUUGUUAAGUCAGUUGUGAAAGGUUGCGGCUCAACCGUAAAAUUGCAAUUGAUACUGGCAGUCGUGAGUACAGUUGAGGUAGGCGGAAUUCGUGGUGUAGCGGUGAAAUGCUUAGAUAUCACGAAGAACUCCGAUUGCGAAGGCAGCUUACUAAACUGCCACUGACAUUGAUGCUCGAAAGUGUGGGUAGCAAACAGGAUUAGAUACCCCUGUAGUC